rnacentral:lncRNA from 1 species
AUACUUAGAAGAAUUUCGUUAGGGUACAAUAUUUGUUUCAUCCUUUGUUAUCAUCAAAAUCUUAGAGAUACAUUGUAGAACUAAAUUUGUUCUUACAGUGAUUCCAUGAUCAAUUUCUUCAUGAGCAAGUAAACCUCAUUUUGCUCCAAGCCAUGUUCUACCAUUCAAAUGUCCAUACCAUGAAGUCAUAACCAAAUGCCAAAUCCUACAUAAUCAGCCCUGCAUUCAAAAUGAAUCAAUACAUCACUUAGCAUUCAAACCAAACAUGCAUAUUCAUUAUGAUUCAAGGCAUAUGUAAAUAUAUACAUGUUCCAACAAGCAUACAUACAUGACAUUCAUUACCAAGUAAUAAUACAUUCUUUCAAUAAAUUCAAAAUUGUAUCAUGAUUCAAUUUAGUCACAAACCAUCAUGCAUAAGUAACUAAAGCAAGCUAAUAACCAAAUCGGUUUUACUCAUGACAAAUUCAAAUUUUCACAAGGCCAGUUCACCAUGUAAUGCAUUUCAGUCCAAAUCCAUGUCUUUAAACAGACUUUCAUGUCCAAAAGUUCAGGUUAGAUCAUAACCACUUUACCUUUUCAGCAACAUCCUUUGGCAGGCUUGUAGAAAUGAGGUAAUGCUUAGUUUUUCCUUAGCUAUGUAGUGGAAGAAACUCAUGGCAACUCAUUGGCCCUGCAUUUCCCAAUCAAGCACACUAAUUGUACCUCUAACUCCACAUGCAUAGGCAUGGGAAACAACAAAAUCAUUUCUAUAGGUUCUGCAUAACAGACCAUCAAGGAAGAAGCAAAUACCAACCUUUUUCAUAUCAAACUUCACCUCGUGACAUUCAUCUUUUUUUUAAUUCGAUUUCUAUAAAAUGAAGUUCAUAAGGUCUGAGUCAAAAACUAACUAUUCUCCCAUAAUCCCAAUUCCACAACUCAUUUAGCAGCAACACAAUUAACAAGUAUAGCAAAUGCUUAGCAGAAAAAACUGAGGCAUAAUAGGAACCCUGCUUUUUAACAUAACACAAAUUGGAGUUCCACUGUAACUAACCUAAUGUAACACUCAUAUAAGCAUAAUCAUCACUAACUGGAUUGCAAUCCCAAUUAACUUGAACCGAAACCUAAUCUAACUAACUGGAGUUACAUAACUAACAUAUUAACAACUCUUCUCAUUUUCAACUGACUUUAAAUUUGGGGUGAGUUUCAAAGCAAUUUGAGUAGCAUCUCAUAACAGAAUUUCAAAUGCUAUAAAUCCAUGCAUCUUUCACUCAUUCGAGGGAGGUUUUCAUUCCCAUAAUUUCCAAAUUUUCGAUCUCUCUGAGCUCAACCUUUUCCCUCACUCCAAAGCUUUUUCUCCAUUGUUGCUCAAGGCCUUACAUUGAAGCUCUAAAACAACAAGAGCUGAGCCCUAAUCUCUCUUUCACUCUAUGAGAAAUCAUAAGUCUCUCUCAAAAAUCAUAAGUACAGAUCUCAACCAUUCUCUCAAAUUCAUCUAAAAGAAUAAGGAAUAAGAAGAAGAUUAAGGCGAGGAAGAAAGAGGAGAGAGCUUGGAAGGAUUCAGAGAAUUACCUGGAACCUCUGGCACGGCGUUCUUGUGAGUUCAUGCUUGAUUUCCACCUUCUUGCUUCAUUUGAUUUACCACAGUGUAUCUUGUGUUGAGGCAGAUCAAAGCCCUAACAUCUAGGGCUCUAAUUUUGCGCUUCCGCCAUUUAAUUUGCAUUUAGGUUGUUAGGGUUCCUCCCUAGCCCUCUUUGAUUUAGAUGAUUAAAGGGAAAUUGGGAGGAAUUGACUUAGGGCUUGGGAAGAAUAGGAGUAGUUGGUCAUGUUGAGAGGUUAUUUUCUUGUUUUUGGUGGCCGCCGCCGCCACAGACGAUUUCCGACGCGGUGGUCCAUGGUGGAUUGAGAGGUUGCCUGACCGGAGACAUGAUUCACUGAUCCUGCACGCGUUCAAUCAGUUUUAAAUUUAAUUUGGUUAAGUGGUCACGUGUAAGGUUACCAUUGGUCCACUACUGUAGUCCUUC